rnacentral:lncRNA from 10 species
GAUAAACACUUCUGUGAUGAAGGUCUUCAUACAUAAAUCUUAUGCUAUGCUUUAACUCCCUUUGUUAGAGAGUCCGUAAGAACUUUGGAGACAGUCUGCCUACAUUCAGAUUCUGGUGUGUAGUGUUGUGCAGGCUGUAUAUCAGCCGAGGCAAAUGGUACCUCCUGAUACAGUGCAAAGCAUAACCUGCACAGCCAUACAUGGCAGCCCUGAAUCUUGGCUCUGCCAUAUACUUACUGUAUGAACUUUUACAAGUCCUUUUACAGUUCUGCUGCCUCAGUUUCUGCAUCAAUAAAGUAGAGAAAAUAAUACCUUAUAGGCCCAGCAUAUAGCAAUUGGUAUGUAUGUUGUUGUUAUUAUUGUCAAUGAGUAUGACUUUCGUUGCAAACUAUCAAGUAAUCCUAUAAACUCUGGCUGAUGUCAUGGUUUAGAUUUAAGGCUCUUCAAGAACUACAGAACAAAGUAGAUAUACUCUUGGUGCCAUGUUGAGGAGGGUUGAAAUACUAAGCCACAUUUUUCAGAAAGGAGAUGAAGCACACAUAUGGAAAGUCAGAUGGCCCUACAGGGGAAUGGAAGCCCCAGAGGACAGGUGUGAUUACGGGGUUAUGAUUUCAAAAGAGGAAAAAACAGUGAAGGAGGCAAGUGGAGAGGAGUUUGCUGGAUGAGAAGGCUUCCCUGGGGAGAAGGGUAUUGGGGGAGAUGAUUGCAAGCUCUCUUAGUAGCAGGUGGAGCAGUAGUCUGGUUCCUACCGGAGGCAGAUGUUUAGGCACCAUCUGUCACAGUUAAUUCUGAGUCUGGGUGUUUCGCAUACCUUUGGCUUCAUGGGAUGAGUCACAUGCUUGCAUCUGUUCUCCCUCUCUGAACAUUUUCCUCCUGAAUGAUGAUCACCCUAUUAACCAACACCAAAAAUUUUCAAAGGAAUGCUUUCAGAAAGAUGCAAAACGCAGAGAAUGUGUGGCCAAACUCAUCUGGUUUCAGAAGAUCUCUUGUCCUCAGAUAUGUCUACUCUCAUUAAAACAAAGUAUGAAGAUUUCCAUGGCUGGGGACACAGGCAGUGUCUUUGAUGAGGUCCUCUCAAGAUAGCUUAAGCGUGGACUAAACUUCAUAGGGUCCACAUGAAAAAUUGGCUUCAUUGAUCCACUAAAUUCUCAAGGUACAGUCCAUUUCUAUUCUGCCCUCAGGUGGUGCUCCAGCUAGCCCUUCACGUUCAUGUCUCCCCAGAUUCUAGGGAAACCAUGUCCAUUUCUCCCAACAGCUCUCUCACAUUCCAGCCUCAUCACAAGAUUCUCUGGCUGUGCAAACCUUCAGCCAGGGAGGAAGUUUCAACUUGUUCCUCCUAUCUGACAAUGCCAAUCCCCAAAAAUUAGUUUUUGGGAACUCCGUCUGUUGUUUUGGGCCUGGAUUUGUCUGCUGGAAAAUGAGAGACACGUGGCCAGCUGUGCAGUCACCCCAGCCUAUAGCUAGCCAAACUCCAGAAGGAGAGAAGGUCGCUGACCUGCCUCUGACUGUGGACACAAAAGGGAGCCAUGACAAGACUAGACGAAUCACCCAACAAGCUUGGCCUAAGUUGCUGACCUGCUGAAUUAUGAUAUAAAUAAAUGGUUGUUAUUUUAAGCCACUACGUUUGGGGUGGUUUGUUUCAUAGAAAUAAUUCACUGAUACAAGGAAGAUAACUUUCCUUUUAAUUGACAUGGCUGGUUGGUGAGAUAGUUCCUUUCACUUACGUUGCAUUGCUGAAAGCUAGUUAUCAGGCCUCCCUUACAUGGAAGAGGAGACUAUAAAAUGUAGUCCAGCAGUGUAACCAGAAGAGGCAGAGGACAUGGAUAUCGGUGGAUCCCCGUCAUAAGCACUUACUCAUUUUUCUGGGGCAAUGGACACACUUUCUGUUGACUUCUUACAAAUCUUGGAGUCUCAGCUGAAGCUUCUGUACAAAGUCAGAAUUAUUAUGUAAAAUCUUGUUGUGCCUUGUGAUAGAGAAGAUCACUAUCUUAUGUUCUGAUGACUCUCCAAAGAGGGUAGGAUUCUGUUUAAGUAGUCUCAGGGCCUGGUUAUCUUUAUUUCAAGGAGAGAAAGGAGGAAGCUUAGUGUAGGCCGACAGGUCUGAGCCAUAACCUUCAACUGCAUUUUUCAAGCCCCUCUAGUUUCUUGUGUAUAUUUCCUGUGGUGAGGAACCCCACUGGGAAGAGAGGUCAUGGCAGGAUUUAUGCAUUCUUGUGUUGUUGUGUUGUGAUUUCUGUCAUCACAGCAGAAUCAAUAUCUUUGUUUAUUGUUCUUAGGAGUCAGUAUCCAGUCUAUUGUCUAUAGUUCUAGUAGCAUGAUUUAUGAUUCAUGAGUUUAAAUGAUGUCUCAACACUGUAACACCACACACAGACACUGUAGAUUAUGUUAGAGGGAACACAAUGCGUCAGACAGACCCAGGUCUCAAUCCCUUCUUUUCUACUUACUAACUUUGUGACCUUGGGUAAAUUCUUUAAAUUCAGGUGCCUGUUUCCCUUUAGCAAAAUGUAGACAAUCAUAGCAAACAUCCCUGUUUCUUGUAAGCAUUACAUGAAAGAAAGAAUGUGAAAGUACUUGGCACUCGUAGAUGCUCUGCAAAUGCUAACUGAAUCUAAAUUAGAGGAGAAGCAAGCUAGUGUUUUAAAACAUACUUUAAUAAGUAGAAAUAGAUCACAAUGUUGAGUUAAUCAUAGCACAUUGUAAUCAUACAUCCAUGUAAGGCCCCUCUCUUGUGUGAAUCCAUUAAUUUUUCCUUUAUCCCUGUUUCACUGUCUCAUUUAUCUUCUUCCAUAGGUAUCUGUUACAUACACUUUAUAUAUAAUCAAAUUUAUUUAUCUUUGAAAAAUAGUUUGUUGUAUGUAAAGUUGGAUUGUUUGUAACUCACAAGAUAAAUUCUUGAGGGAACAGGUACCCCAUUCGUCAUGAUGUGCCUAUUUCACAUUGCAUGCCUGUAUCAAAACAUCUCAUGUACCCCCUAAAUAUAUAUAACUACUAUGUACCCACAAAAUUUUAAACAAGUUUAUGCAAAUGGCAUUAUACUAUAAAUUUCUGUCUUUUUAAAAACUUUUCACCCAGCAUGUUUUAAAUGAUUGUCCAUGGUGCUGAAUGCUGUCUCAUUCAUGACUUUUGAGGCUAAAUAAUGUUGCGUUACAUUUUCUACCUUUAACUUACCCAUUCCCCAAUUGUUGGAUACCUACGUUCUCUCCAAUACCAAAAAUAUGCAUUAAAACAUCUUCUAAAAUGCAUUUUUACCAACCUGCUGGAAAAUUUCUCUAGGAUAUAUGCCCAAGAGAGGGACUUAUGGAUCACAGAUGUGUGCAUACUUAUUUUAUUGAGGACACAACCAGACGGCUUUCUAGGAGGGCCGUACCAGUUUAUACAACUGUCAGUAGUGCAUGAGGAGCCGGUUUUCUGACAUCUUCACCAUCUUUCUAAUUUUUGUAUUAUAAUGGAUAUACAAUGGUAUCUCACUGUCAUUUUAGUUUUUAUUUAUCUAUAUACUUGUGUGUGUAAGAGUCUCCUUAUAUGUAUUUUGGCCAUUCAGGAAUCCCUUCUCUGCAUCAUCUCCUCAUGUCCUAGGGAAUCAGUUUUCUCAAUGCUAUAUGCCAACCAAAUCAUCCCUUCCCUAUUGCUUUAAAGAGUCACAUCUACUGUGAAUCAAAGUCACACGCAAACAAAUCUAUUUCUGAGGUCUCUAUUCUGUUCCGAUUUGUUCUAUUUAUCUCUAUCCAUGUUAGUCCAUACUGUUUAUAUAACAAUGGCCUUUCCUACAUCUUAAUAUCAUAAAGAAUAAUGUGCUCUCCCCACCUCAUCUUUCCUCUUUUAUUUCAAAACUGACUUAGCUCUUCAUGAAUUCUAUUCUUCCUUUGUAUCCUCAGUGCCAAUUUAUUAGCUUGUUGUCCCAACGCAGUUUAUUGAAAGAGCUAGCUUUUAAUAACUAAUGUGGUGUUAAUCACUCAUCUACAUUUCUAAGAUAUAGUAUGUAGUGUUCUUAGUUUUGCUAAUUUUUUUCUAGUCAUCAUUUUCUUUUCCUCUUUAACCAAAGAGUUAUUUUAGAGAGUGACUUUUAACAACUCAAAGUGACUCUAUUUUUAGGGUUAAUAUGUUCUUAUUAGUCUCUAGUUUUACUGCACUUUGCUUAGAGAUGUGGUCUGCAUAAUAUAUACUUUUUAGAAUUAUAGAUUGUCUUUGUGGUCUAAUAUGAUAGAUUUAUGUGAAUGAGCCAUGGGCACUGGAAAUCUAUUCUCCAUAGAGUUAAAGUUUGGUAAUUAUUAGACCAACCUUUAUUAUUUAACUCAAAGCCUUUUAUCUAGUAUUAGUAAACCAUAGGGGGCCACAAAGAAGUUCAUGAAUGGGCUUCAAGGUAUCCAUAAAUUCCCUGACAUGCAGGCAAUAUGCACAUGCUUCUGAGUGAGGAGAGAAAAUUCAUGAGAUUCCCAUAGGGGUCCAAGAGUCUAAAAAGAUGAACAACUACAGGAUUAAUUUUUGUUUUAUGUUUGUUUAUUUAUAUCUAUUUGAUCUGUCAAUAGCAUUAUAACUGUGCUUUUAACAAUUUUGUCUUGUUUUUAUACUUCUUUUCAUUCUAUAUAUUGAAGCAAUGUUGACUGAUGCAUAUUUGUGGAUAUUUAUAAUGUAACUACAUAUUUUAUUCUUUUCAUUAUAAAAUGUUAAUUAUAAAGUCAUUAAGAAUCCUUUUUAAUAUAUUUGCCCUGAAUUCAGCAGUGUCUGAUUUUAUUACUCAAUUGUAGCUUUCAGUUUAUUUGUGUUUGUCUGAUGUAUUUUUUCAACUUUAGGCUUUUUGCUUAGUUGGAUUCUUUUUGUAUCAAUUAUAUUUAAUACGGAAUUUUAAUCUUUCUAUGUUCAUUGCAAUAAAUGAUAUAUUUGCUCCUACUUCUGUCAUUUUGUUUUUAUUUGGUUGUUGAUGUUCAUGCUUUGCUUUUUUUGUCAUUUCUGUCUUUUGCUGUAUGUUAGAUGCAUUCAUUGUUUUUCUUUUCU